GACGAACGCUGGCGGCGUGCCUAAUACAUGCAAGUGGGACGCAAGGGAACACACUGUGCUUGCACACCGUGUUUUCUUGAGUCGCGAACGGGUGAGUAACGCGUAGGUAACCUGCCUAUUAGCGGGGGAUAACUAUUGGAAACGAUAGCUAAUACCGCAUAAUAUUAAUUAUUGCAUGAUAAUUGAUUGAAAGAUGCAAGCGCAUCACUAGUAGAUGGACCUGCGUUGUAUUAGCUAGUUGGUAAGGUAAGAGCUUACCAAGGCGACGAUACAUAGCCGACCUGAGAGGGUGAUCGGCCACACUGGGACUGAGACACGGCCCAGACUCCUACGGGAGGCAGCAGUAGGGAAUCUUCGGCAAUGGACGAAAGUCUGACCGAGCAACGCCGCGUGAGUGAAGAAGGUUUUCGGAUCGUAAAGCUCUGUUGUAAGUCAAGAACGUGUGUGAGAGUGGAAAAGUUCACACAGUGACGGUAGCUA
rnacentral:rRNA from 1 species